UACGGGGGGGGCAAGCGUUGUUCGGAAUUACUGGGCGUAAAGGGCUCGUAGGCGGCCAACUAAGUCAGACGUGAAAUCCCUCGGCUUAACCGGGGAACUGCGUCUGAUACUGGAUGGCUUGAGUUCGGGAGAGGGAUGCGGAAUUCCAGGUGUAGCGGUGAAAUGCGUAGAUAUCUGGAGGAACACCGGUGGCGAAGGCGGCAUCCUGGACCGACACUGACACUGAGGAGCGAAAGCCAGGGGAGCAAACGGGG
rnacentral:rRNA from 1 species